ensembl:lncRNA
AGAACAGCACGGAGUCCUUCAGCUGCAGGCAGAAGGCCUGUCUGACUCAGUACUCCACGUAGGCAAGUUCGUGUGCUUCGCCCCUUCUAUUGCUACAUGCCUUGUGACAGCAACCAAAGCCGUCAGUGACUGAAAUCCUGGAGUCACACAGAAAUGAGGCAGUAAUACAGGAAAAGCUUCAUGCUGAUCAGUGUCCAGCAGGGUGUUGAGGGUUCUGCUGAUCCAGCACAAGUGGUUUCUCAGACAUCACACCAUUUUCUGGUGACUCAAAACUGAAGUGCUGAGAUGGACACAUCAAAAGGGAGGACCAGUUUACUGAGAGCACU